rnacentral:rRNA from 1 species
UACGUAGGGGGGCAAGCGUUUGUCCGGAAUCAUUGGGCGUAAAGAGCGUGUAGGCGGCCCGGUAAGUCCGCUGUGAAAGUCCAGGGCUCAACCCUGGGAUGCCGGUGGAUACUGUCGGGCUCGAGUCCGGAAGAGGAGUGUGGAAUUCCUGGUGUAGCGGUGAAAUGCGCAGAUAUCAGGAGGAACACCAAUGGCGAAGGCAGCACUCUGGGACGUGAC